AUUGAACGCUGGCGGCAGGCCUAACACAUGCAAGUCGAACGAGUGGCGGACGGGUGAGCAAUCUCUGGGAAACUGCCCGAUGGAGGGGGAUAACUACUGGAAACGGUAGCUAAUACCGCAUACCCUCGGAUCAGCCCAUAUGGGAUUAGCUUGUAGGUGAGGUAACGGCUCACCUAGGCGACGAUCCCUAGCUGGUCUGCGACGAUAACCAGCAACACUGGAACUGAGCCACGGUCCAGACUCCUACGGGAUGCAGCAUUGGGGAAUAUUGCAAAAUGGGCGCAAGCCUGAUGCAGCCAUGCCGCGUGUAUGCAGAAGGCCUUCGGGUUGUAAAGUACUUUCAGCGGGGAGUCGUUACCCGCAGAAGAAGCACCGGCUAACUCCGUGCCAGCAGCCGCGGUAAUAC
rnacentral:rRNA from 1 species